rnacentral:rRNA from 1 species
GGAAUUGACGGGGGCCCGCACAAGCGGUGGAGCAUGUGGUUUAAUUCGAAGCAACGCGAAGAACCUUACCAGGUCUUGACAUCCUUUGACCACUCUAGAGAUAGAGCUUUCCCUUCGGGGACAAAGUGACAGGUGGUGCAUGGUUGUCGUCAGCUCGUGUCGUGAGAUGUUGGGUUAAGUCCCGCAACGAGCGCAACCCUUAUUGUUAGUUGCCAUCAUUUAGUUGGGCACUCUAGCGAGACUGCCGGUGACAAACCGGAGGAAGGUGGGGAUGACGUCAAAUCAUCAUGCCCCUUAUGACCUGGGCUACACACGUGCUACAAUGGGAAGUACAACGAGUCGCUAGACCGCGAGGUCAUGCAAAUCUCUUAAAGCUUCUCUCAGUUCGGAUUGCAGGCUGCAACUCGCCUGCAUGAAGCCGGAAUCGCUAGUAAUCGCGGAUCAGCACGCCGCGGUGAAUACGUUCCCGGGCCUUGUACACACCGCCCGUCACACCACGAGAGUUUGC